rnacentral:rRNA from 1 species
UGGGGAAUAUUGGACAAUGGGGGCAACCCUGAUCCAGCGACGCCGCGUGUGUGAAGAAGGCCUGCGGGUUGUAAACCUCUUUCAGUGGGGAAGAAGCGUAAGUGACGGUACCUGCAGAAGAAGCGCCGGCCAACUACGUGCCAGCAGCCGCGGUAAGACGUAGGGCGCGAGCGUUGUCCGGAUUUAUUGGGCGUAAAGAGCUCGUAGGCGGUUUGUCGCGUCUGCCGUGAAAGUCCGGGGCUCAACUCCGGAUCUGCGGUGGGUACGGGCAGACUAGAGUGAUGUAGGGGAGACUGGAAUUCCUGGUGUAGCGGUGAAAUGCGCAGAUAUCAGGAGGAACACCGAUGGCGAAGGCAGGUCUCUGGGCAUUAACUGACGCUGAGGAGCGAAAGCAUGGGGAGCGAACAGGAUUAGAUACCC